rnacentral:rRNA from 1 species
AUUGAACGCUGGCGGCGUGCUUAACACAUGCAAGUCGAUCGGUAACAGGUGUAGCAAUACAUGCUGACGAGAGGCGGACGGGUGAGUAAUGCUUGGGAAUCUGCCUAUUAGUGGGGGACAACCCGGGGAAACUCGGGCUAAUACCGCAUACGCUCUACGGAGGAAAGCCGGGGACCGCAAGGCCUGGCGCUAAUAGAUGAGCCCAAGUCGGAUUAGCUAGUUGGUAGGGUAACGGCCUACCAAGGCGACAAUCCGUAGCUGGUCUGAGAGGACGACCAGCCACACCGGAACUGAGACACGGUCCGGACUCCUACGGGAGGCAGCAGUGGGGAAUAUUGGACAAUGGGGGCAACCCUGAUCCAGCGACGCCGCGUGGGUGAAGAAGGCCUGCGGGUUGUAAAGCCCUUUCGGUGGGAAGAAAAGUCUCGACCUAAUACGUCGGGACCUUGACGUAACCCACUAAAGAAGCACCGGCUAACUCUGUGCCAGC